AUUGAACGCUGGCGGAAUGCUUUACACAUGCAAGUCGAACGGUAGAGGGGGCAACCCCUUGAGAGUGGCGAACGGGUGAGUAAUAUAUCGGAACGUGCCCAGUCGUGGGGGAUAACGUAGCGAAAGUUACGCUAAUACCGCAUACGAUCUAAGGAUGAAAGCGGGGGAUCGCAAGACCUCGCGCGACUGGAGCGGCCGAUAUCAGAUUAGGUAGUUGGUAGGGUAAAGGCCUACCAAGCCAACGAUCUGUAGCUGGUCUGAGAGGACGACCAGCCACACUGGAACUGAGACACGGUCCAGACUCCUACGGGAGGCAGCAGUGGGGAAUUUUGGACAAUGGGCGAAAGCCUGAUCCAGCCAUUCCGCGUGCAGGAUGAAGGCCCUCGGGUUGUAAACUGCUUUUGUACAGAACGAAAAGGUUUCUAUUAAUACUAGGAGCUCAUGACGGUACUGUAAGAAUAAGCACCGGCUAACUACGUGCCAGCAGCCGCGGUAAUACGUAGGGUGCAAGCGUUAAUCGGAAUUACUGGGCGUAAAGCGUGCGCAGGCGGUUAUAUAAGUCAGAUGUGAAAUCCCCGGGCUCAACCUGGGAACUGCAUUUGAGACUGUAUAGCUAGAGUACGGUAGAGGGGGAUGGAAUUCCGCGUGUAGCAGUGAAAUGCGUAGAUAUGCGGAGGAACACCGAUGGCGAAGGC
rnacentral:rRNA from 1 species